rnacentral:rRNA from 1 species
CAGCCGUAAACAAUGUGCGCUAGGUAUGUCGGUAACCACGUGUUACUGAUGUGCCGAAGAGAAAUCGUGAGACGCACCACCUGGGAAGUACGGUCGCAAGGCUGAAACUUAAAGGAAUUGGCGGGGGAGCACCACAACAGGUGGAGCCUGCGGUUUAAAUUGGAUUCAACGCCGGACAUCUCACCGGAUAAGACAGCUGAAUGAUUGUCAAUCUGAAGGUUUUACAUGACUAGCUGAGAGGAGGUGCAUGGCGUCAGUGACU